CACCCUCGUUCCCUCACGGCCUCACGGCCUCACCCACCCUCGCGCACGCACACGCAGAGCAGAGUGGACGGAGGGAGGCGGAGAACAAAGGAUGGCGGCGGCGCUCUAGGUCAGACUUCCGCGCGCAUCCAUCUGCUCCGUCGCUCCCCGCAGGCUUCCGCCCUCCGUCGCUGACCUCCGACCUCCGCCCUCUUCCCUCCCUCGCGCCGUUGAGCGCACCGGCGCACGCCUCCGUGGAGCAAGACAGAAGCCGCCGCCGACGCACAAGGGUGUUCGAAAGUGCCAACCUUGGUGCUGGUCAAGCUUACUUACCUGAAACAAAUCCUGAUGUUACUCCUGACCGUGUUAGCAAGAAAAAGAACAAAAGUUCAAAGGCAUGGACACACUUCACAGUUCAGAAUGAUGAUUCGAAUCAUGCUAACUGAACAAGUUUUUAUUCCAGAAUUUGUGUUGAGCAGUUCUGCUUGUGCUUGUAUUGGACAAGUUUUUGUUCCAGAAUUUCUUCAUGUGGUUUGACUAGACAUGUACUAAAUUAGUGCUUGUAGUUGUACUUGUAGUCUUCUACUAGAUUGUUGUACUGGAACAUAAAUUCCUAAUGUUUCAGAAUUUCUUCAAGUAGGUAACGAGGUUGUAUUGGACAAGUACUAAAUUUGUUUUUCCA